rnacentral:tRNA from 1 species
GCACUAGUGGUCUAGUGGUAGAAUAGUACCCUGCCACGGUAUAGACUUGGGUUCGAUUCUCGACUGGAGGUGCA